rnacentral:rRNA from 1 species
AUACGGAGGAUCCGAGCGUUAUCCGGAUUUAUUGGGUUUAAAGGGAGCGUAGGUGGAUUGUUAAGUCAGUUGUGAAAGUUUGCGGCUCAACCGUAAAAUUGCAGUUGAAACUGGCAGUCUUGAGUACAGUAGAGGUGGGCGGAAUUCGUGGUGGAGCGGUGAAAUGCUUAGAUAUCACGAAGAACUCCGAUUGCGAAGGCAGCUCACUAGACUGUUACUGACACUGAUGCUCGAAAGUGUGGGUAUCAAACAGGAUUAGAUACCCUGGUAGUCCACACAGUAAACGAUGAAUACUCGCUGUUUGCGAUAUACAGUAAGCGGCCAAGCGAAAGCAUUAAGUAUUCCACCUGGGGAGUACGCCGGCAACGGUGAAACUCAAAUGAAUUGACGGGG